rnacentral:rRNA from 1 species
UGUUUCGGCAAGGGGGUCAUCCCGACUUACCAACCCGAUGCAAACUGCGAAUACCGGAGAAUGUUAUCACGGGAGACACACGGCGGGUGCUAACGUCCGUCGUGAAGAGGGAAACAACCCAGACCGCCAGCUAAGGUCCCAAAGUCAUGGUUAAGUGGGAAACGAUGUGGGAAGGCCCAGACAGCCAGGAUGUUGGCUUAGAAGCAGCCAUCAUUUAAAGAAAGCGUAAUAGCUCACUGGUCGAGUCGGCCUGCGCGGAAGAUGUAACGGGGCUAAACCAUGCACCGAAGCUGCGGCAGCGACACUAUGUGUUGUUGGGUAGGGGAGCGUUCUGUAAGCCUGUGAAGGUGUGCUGUGAGGCAUGCUGGAGGUAUCAGAAGUGCGAAUGCUGACAUAAGUAACGAUAAAGCGGGUGAAAAGCCCGCUCGCCGGAAGACCAAGGGUUCCUGUCCAACGUUAAUCGGGGCAGGGUGAGUCGACCCCUAAGGCGAGGCCGAAAGGCGUAGUCGAUGGGAAACAGGUUAAUAUUCCUGUACUUGGUGUUACUGCGAAGGGGG